AGAGUUUGAUCCUGGCUCAGAUUGAACGCUGGCGACGUGCUUAACACAUGCAAGUCGUGCGAGAAAGUAGGCUUCGGUCUAUGAGUAGAGCGGCGCACGGGUGAGUAACGCGUGGAUGAUCUACCCUUGAGUUCGGGAUAACGGUGCGAAAGCGCCGCUAAUACCGUAUAACAAUCCAUUUCAUCGUGGGUUCAAAGCAGGCCUCUUCGUGAAAGCUUGCGCUUGGGGAUGAGUCCGCGUCCCAUUAGCUUGUUGGCGGGUAACGGCCCACCAAGGCUACGAUGGGUAGCUGGUCUGAGAGGAUGAUCAGCCACACUGGAACUGAAACACGGUCCAG
rnacentral:rRNA from 1 species